CAUCCGAAAAGGCAAACCAUCUGAAAAGGUGGGACGCAAAACCCAAGACCUAAGGGCUUGAAAGAGCCUAAGGUAGACUGGUUACCGAA
rnacentral:ncRNA from 1 species